rnacentral:lncRNA from 1 species
AAGGCCAGCCGCUAAGACCAGUACUGUUGAACUCUGGGCCUCCAAUCCCUGGACUGUAUUAAGGGGGUUGAGCUGGAAGAGGCUCAAUGUUUUGCCAGUCCUUUGAACCGGGAACCCUUGAGUUUCAAAUCUGCUAUUGCCCCACCAGACAGCUGCCUCUGCCUCUGCCCAAGGUCACGGAUUGACAGUGAGACAACUGGGACGGACACCCUGACUUACCUGGAGAAGAGGCUUGCCCAAGCUUGAGGAUCUGGUUCCUGAGGUCUUCUUUGAGCCAAGACUCUUGGUGUGAGAUGUAUGAGGACCAGGGUCCACAGAUGAGUCAGACCCUGCCAAUGCCACCAGCAGUGAACCAGCCUAGGCUAGCCCACUGCCCCCAAGAAGCAGAGGAGAAGUCGUCCUAAGUGGGCCAAUAGCCAGCCAACCUCCAAAAGGUGAGGAACACAGCCAAGAUCCAUGAAACGGACGCUCACGUGACUUGAAUGCUGACCACAGACACCUGAGUGAGUCCAGCCCAGCCCAACCCAGAAGAACCACCCAUCCAAACAGCAGACCCACAAGCUAAAUAAACGUUUUCAAGUUUAACCCACUGGGUUUUGUGUGUGUUUGUUAUGUGACAUAUUGUAGUAAAUAACUGAUACACUAGUUCAAAUUAAUUUGUGGCUGCUUAG